rnacentral:rRNA from 1 species
CAAUAGCGUAUAUUAAAGUUGUUGCAGUUAAAAAGCUCGUAGUUGGAUUUGUGGCGUACGGUGUGUUCCGGGCACUUGUUGUCUGAGUAACAUGCUGUUGCCAUCCUUGGGUGGAACCUGUGUGGCAUUAGGUUGUCGUGCAGGGGAUGCCCAUCAUUUACUGUGAAAAAAUUAGAGUGUUCAAAGCAGGCUUAUGCCGUUGAAUAUAUUAGCAUGGAAUAAUGAGAUAGGACUUUUUUGCUAUUUUGUUGGUUUGCGCAAGAAGGUAAUGAUUAAUAGGGACAGUUGGGGGUAUUCGUAUUCCAUUGUCAGAGGUGAAAUUCUUGGAUUUUUGGAAGACGAACUACUGCGAAAGCAUUUACCAAGGAUGUUUUCAUUAA